GAUUAACGCUGGCGGCGUGCCUAACACAUGCAAGUCGAACGAAGUGGCGGACGGGUGAGUAACACGUGGGUGACCUGCCCUGCACUUCGGGAUAAGCCUGGGAAACUGGGUCUAAUACCGGAUAGUGUGGGAUGGGCCCGCGGCCUAUCAGCUUGUUGGUGGGGGAAUGGCCUACCAAGGCGGCGACGGGUAGCCGGCCUGGGAGGGUGGACGGCCACAUUGGGACUGCGGCACGGCCCAGACUCCUACGGGAGGCAGCAGUGGGGAAUAUUGCACAAUGGGCGGAAGCCUGAUGCAGCGACGCCGCGUGGGGGAUGACGGCCUUCGGGUUGUAAACUCCUUUCACCAUCGACGCGGUAGAUGGAGAAGAAGCACCGGCUAACUACGUGCCAGCAGCCGCGGUAAUAC
rnacentral:rRNA from 1 species